CUGCUAGCUUAAUACUAAUUAGCAUCCAAGACUGGAUAGAUGGAUAGAUUUGGUUCAAGUUAAAAUAGCAUUGAUUUAGCCCUUCAACAUGCUCGAACAAACUGAUCGAAUGACAUAAAGGGGACGAUUUUCUCAUGAACCAAAAAGCUUUGCAGCGUUCUAAUCUUCUGAUGUUGCUAACACUUUGUGAGACGACGUGACCUUUCCAUAAAACCACCGCAGAUUUUCUCAUGACCAAGCAAAACAAAAGCAUUCCCAGCAGUAAAAGCAGCGCCAAUGCCAACUCUGAGAGAUCUCUGAGACUUUCCAAAAGCUUCGAGCUUUGCGGUCUAAGAAUAGCAAGAGAGAUCUUAUUCAUCGCAACGGCGCCCACCUGCUGUCUCCCUCGAGCCAGGACUUUCCUGUGCACCCACAACAGAAGAACCAGCAUCCAAUAUUAGAAUGUCAUCAUCUGAGCAGCACUGGAGAGUCAAGGUACGCAUCAAAGGGGCCAAAAGUCGAGGCGUGGGAAUCAGGUUCCACAAGCAAAGCUACCACCUGGCUCCUGUCUGUCAAGAUGUGGCUAGUGUGCUGCAAAUCUCACACAAGCGCUCCACGGUCCUCCACAAGUACCCUUCGACCUAUGAACUCUGUGAACGCCCAGCCUUGGUGCUCAUAUUGCACUUUACCAAAACCACCACACUAA